UUAAGCGACUAAGCGUACACGGUGGAUGCCCUGGCAGUCAGAGGCGAUGAAGGACGUGCUAAUCUGCGAAAAGCGUCGGUAAGGUGAUAUGAACCGUUAUAACCGGCGAUGUCCGAAUGGGGAAACCCAGUGCAAUUCGUUGCACUAUCGUUAACUGAAUACAUAGGUUAACGAGGCGAACCGGGGGAACUGAAACAUCUAAGUACCCCGAGGAAAAGAAAUCAACCGAGAUUCCCCCAGUAGCGGCGAGCGAACGGGGAGCAGCCCAGAGUCUGAAUCAGCUUGUGUGUUAGUGGAACGGUCUGGAAAGUCCGACGGUACAGGGUGAUAGUCCCGUACACCAAAAUGCACAGGCUGUGAACUCGAAGAGUAGGGCGGGACACGUGGUAUCCUGUCUGAAUAUGGGGGGACCAUCCUCCAAGGCUAAAUACUCCUGACUGACCGAUAGUGAACCAGUACCGUGAGGGAAAGGCGAAAAGAACCCCGGCGAGGGGAGUGAAAAAGAACCUGAAACCGUGUACGUACAAGCAGUGGGAGCACCUUCGGGUGUGACUGCGUACCUUUUGUAUAAUGGGUCAGCGACUUAUAUUCUGUAGCAAGGUUAACCGUAUAGGGGAGCCGCAGGGAAACCGAGUCUUAACUGGGCGUUAAGUUGCAGGGUAUAGACCCGAAACCCGGUGAUCUAGCCAUGGGCAGGUUGAAGGUUGGGUAACACUAACUGGAGGACCGAACCGACUAAUGUUGAAAAAUUAGCGGAUGACUUGUGGCUGGGGGUGAAAGGCCAAUCAAACCGGGAGAUAGCUGGUUCUCCCCGAAAGCUAUUUAGGUAGCGCCUCGUGAACUCAUCUUCGGGGGUAGAGCACUGUUUCGGCUAGGGGGUCAUCCCGACUUACCAACCCGAUGCAAACUACGAAUACCGAAGAAUGUUAUCACGGGAGACACACGGCGGGUGCUAACGUCCGUCGUGAAGAGGGAAACAACCCAGACCGCCAGCUAAGGUCCCAAAGUCAUGGUUAAGUGGGAAACGAUGUGGGAAGGCACAGACAGCCAGGAUGUUGGCUUAGAAGCAGCCAUCAUUUAAAGAAAGCGUAAUAGCUCACUGGUCGAGUCGGCCUGCGCGGAAGAUGUAACGGGGCUAAACCAUGCACCGAAGCUGCGGCAGCGACACUAUGUGUUGUUGGGUAGGGGAGCGUUCUGUAAGCCUGCGAAGGUGGCCUGUGAGGGUUGCUGGAGGUAUCAGAAGUGCGAAUGCUGACAUAAGUAACGAUAAAGCGGGUGAAAAGCCCGCUCGCCGGAAGACCAAGGGUUCCUGUCCAACGUUAAUCGGGGCAGGGUGAGUCGACCCCUAAGGCGAGGCCGAAAGGCGUAGUCGAUGGGAAACAGGUUAAUAUUCCUGUACUUGGUGUUACUGCGAAGGGGGGACGGAGAAGGCUAUGUUAGCCGGGCGACGGUUGUCCCGGUUUAAGCAUGUAGGCUGGUUGUCCAGGCAAAUCCGGAUAAUCAAGGCUGAGGUGUGAUGACGAGGCACUACGGUGCUGAAGUAACAAAUGCCCUGCUUCCAGGAAAAGCCUCUAAGCAUCAGGUAACAUUAAAUCGUACCCCAAACCGACACAGGUGGUCAGGUAGAGAAUACCAAGGCGCUUGAGAGAACUCGGGUGAAGGAACUAGGCAAAAUGGUGCCGUAACUUCGGGAGAAGGCACGCUGGUGUGUAGGUGAAGUCCCUGCGGAUGGAGCUGAGACCAGUCGAAGAUACCAGCUGGCUGCAACUGUUUAUUAAAAACACAGCACUGUGCAAACACGAAAGUGGACGUAUACGGUGUGACGCCUGCCCGGUGCCGGAAGGUUAAUUGAUGGGGUUAUCCGUAAGGAGAAGCUCUUGAUCGAAGCCCCGGUAAACGGCGGCCGUAACUAUAACGGUCCUAAGGUAGCGAAAUUCCUUGUCGGGUAAGUUCCGACCUGCACGAAUGGCGUAAUGAUGGCCAGGCUGUCUCCACCCGAGACUCAGUGAAAUUGAACUCGCUGUGAAGAUGCAGUGUACCCGCGGCAAGACGGAAAGACCCCGUGAACCUUUACUAUAGCUUGACACUGAACAUUGAGCCUUGAUGUGUAGGAUAGGUGGGAGGCUUUGAAGCGUGGACGCCAGUCUGCGUGGAGCCAACCUUGAAAUACCACCCUUUAAUGUUUGAUGUUCUAACGUUGGCCCCUUACCGGGGUUGCGGACAGUGUCUGGUGGGUAGUUUGACUGGGGCGGUCUCCUCCCAAAGCGUAACGGAGGAGCACGAAGGUUAGCUAAUCCUGGUCGGACAUCAGGAGGUUAGUGCAAUGGCAUAAGCUAGCUUGACUGCGAGCGUGACGGCGCGAGCAGGUGCGAAAGCAGGUCAUAGUGAUCCGGUGGUUCUGAAUGGAAGGGCCAUCGCUCAACGGAUAAAAGGUACUCCGGGGAUAACAGGCUGAUACCGCCCAAGAGUUCAUAUCGACGGCGGUGUUUGGCACCUCGAUGUCGGCUCAUCACAUCCUGGGGCUGAAGUAGGUCCCAAGGGUAUGGCUGUUCGCCAUUUAAAGUGGUACGCGAGCUGGGUUUAGAACGUCGUGAGACAGUUCGGUCCCUAUCUGCCGUGGGCGCUGGAGAAUUGAGGGGGGCUGCUCCUAGUACGAGAGGACCGGAGUGGACGCAUCACUGGUGUUCGGGUUGUCAUGCCAAUGGCACUGCCCGGUAGCUAAAUGCGGAAGAGAUAAGUGCUGAAAGCAUCUAAGCACGAAACUUGCCCCGAGAUGAGUUCUCCCUGAGACUUUAAGUCUCCUGAAGGAACGUUAAAGACGAUGACGUUGAUAGGCCGGGUGUGUAAGCGCAGCGAUGCGUUGAGCUAACCGGUACUAAUGAACCGUGAGGCUUAACCUU
rnacentral:rRNA from 1 species